UACGAGGGGGGCGAGCGUUGUUCGGAAUUAUUGGGCGUAAAGGGUGCGUAGGCGGUUUGGUAAGUCUCGUGUGAAAUCUCCGGGCUCAACUCGGAGCCUGCACGAGAAACUGCCGGGCUUGAGUGUGGGAGAGGUGAGUGGAAUUCCUGGUGUAGCGGUGAAAUGCGUAGAUAUCAGGAGGAACACCUGCGGCGAAAGCGGCUCACUGGACCAUAACUGACGCUGAUGCACGAAAGCUAGGGGAGCAAACAGG
rnacentral:rRNA from 1 species